CUUACAUUGUUUCCACAUCAAGGGAAAAUGUAAGUAUUCAACCUUGUGUUUGUACCAUCUAAUUUUUCCAUAAGGCGACAAUUGUUGAUAUAUUCUUUGAAGUUAUUGUUGGCCAAAUAAUUGGAGCUUUUUGAAGGGCUGGAAAUCAUUUCAGGAAAUGAAGGGUGGAUUUCUGUUCAGGAAUGGUAAGCAAAGGUUAAGUGUGUUAGUUGCUGCUGGCCUACUAUUAUGCAUUGAAUGGAUUGAUGUCAAAAGGAAUGUUGAAAUGCAUAAUUUUUCGAGGGAUGUGUUCUUUAUAAGGUGUUGUCUUCUCUUUGUUUCAAUGUAUAAGUCCUUAGCUUGAAGUGGGAUGUUUUGGUUUUGGUCAUGGGAUGUUAAUUUUUGACAUUUUAGAAAUUCUUGGUAGCUGCGAAUUUUCAUUAAUUUCGGUCACCGAGAGAGAUAUGUACGCACUUCAUAAAGUGGUCUCUUGUUAUUGAUGAGGCGUGUUUCUGCUGUUGGUAUUGAAUAGAAGGAUACAAUGUCUUAUUUCA